AUACAUAGGGGGCAAGCGUUAUCCGGAAUUAUUGGGCGUAAAGGGUGCGUAGGCGGUCUAUUAAGUCUGAGGUGUAAGUGCAGGGCUCAACCCUGUGAUGUUUUAGAAACUGGUAGACUUGAGUGAGAUAGAGGCAAGUGGAAUUCCAUGUGUAGCGGUAAAAUGCGUAAAUAUAUGGAGGAACACCAGUGGCGAAGGCGGCUUGCUGGGUCUAUACUGACGCUGAGGCACGAAAGCGUGGGGAGCAAACAGGAUUAGAUACCCUGGUAGUCCACGCCGUAAACGAUGAGUACUAAGUGUUGCGAGAACGCAGUGCUGAAGUUAACAUAUUAAGUACUCCGCCUGAGUAGUACGUACGCAAGUAUGAAACUCAAAGGAAUUGACGGGG
rnacentral:rRNA from 1 species